rnacentral:lncRNA from 1 species
UUCUUAAAAUGCCUUAUUUUUUAUAUUCAAUUGUGAAACAGAAUAAAAUUUUGUAUCCACAGCAUCAAUAUCCUCAAUCAUUUUAUCUUUUCUAUCAUAUUUUGCUCAAGAUAACAUAUUUGCUAUUAGACUAUCUUUCCUUCCAACAUGCCUAAACUCUAGAUUUAAUAACUUGAUAUAAACAAUCUAUCUCAACAAUGCAAUAUCCAAUUUUAUAGAAUUAAUAAUUAUUCUAAGUAAAGAUAAACAAUCUAUUUCAACUACUACUAAUGCUCCUAUCAAAUAAUCUUUUU